rnacentral:lncRNA from 1 species
GUCAAUUCAUGAGUGUAUAAAAGUUAAAAGAUAAAGAAGUAGGAUCAACAUAAGUAGUUCCAAAAUACAUACACAUAAAAUUACAUCUAAGACUCAGGAGGAGGUGGUUUUAGGAAAAUGCAUUUAAAUGGGCAUAAAAGGCAUUAUAUUGAGCUUGAAAUGCCAUGAUUGUAAUGAUUAUAGUUAAAAAUGAAAUCACCAGAAAGAGGAAGAGCACUAGAAAUCAGAAAGAUAUGAGGAAGACAUGAAACAUGUGGUACAUCGUCAUAAUCACCUCAAACCACAUCUUCAUCUUCUUCGAAAGGUAAAAGUCGUACUCCAGCUUGGUAGUUUCCACUACCUGUCCAAGGUUGAGCCCUGGGAUUUGACGGCGGACUUAAAAAGCCACCUACAGACGCUUUACGCCCAAUCAUUCCGGAUAACGCUUGCAUCCUCUGUCUUAUCACAGCUGCUGGCACAGAGUUAGCCUAUGCUUAUUCCCCAGAUACCGUCAUUGCUUCUUCUCCGGGAAAAGAAGUUCACGACCUGUGGGCCUUCUACCUCCACGCGGCAUUGCUCCGUCAGGCUUUCGCCCAUUGCGAAAAAUUCCCCACUGCUGCCUCCCGUAGGAGUCUGGGCUAGGACUUGAAUGAGGAUCAAAGCCCUCUGUGCCACCCUUUGACGUGCUCUUUGAUGAUUUUCAUAAGUUUGAGAGUUUGGAUAUUGAUGGUAUCGGUAGGAUGAAAUGAAAUGAAAAUAUCAUUAUCCAAAGGGAUAUUGAAGUGUUUAAAAAUUUUGCUAAGAAACAUGCCAUACGGUAAAACUUUGAUGUGUCUUGUAGGAUGAACAAGCUUCAUGGGACCAAAUGCAAAAGUCUAAUUUUCGCACAACUGAAAAUGAAUCAAGGAGGAAGAUAUCAAAAUUAUUGACUUCGUCCCGAUGUCCUUUUCGUGGAAAAAUAAUAUGAGCAAUGAUAUUUUGUAAAACUUUUACAAUGUAGAAGGAGUUGAUUUGCACUAAUCUUGGUGAUAGUUUCAAUGUGCUUUCUGGUAACUCUACGGCAAGCUUCGAUAGGGCUAUAACCUUCAAGAGUAGGAUGAGUUUCGUGUAGAAAAAAUUGAUUUUUACAUUCCUCAACCUCAAGAAUAGUUCAAAUAAGAUGGUUGGUGAUGGUAAUUCAUGUGUUUUUAAGUAAACACGAAAUCCCAUCCACCCUAUGGGAGAUAACCAUAUUUUUAUAAAACUCCUUCAUAAGUCGGGGAUAUGCAUUUUCUUCCAAAGUGGCUACUGACACCCAACACAUAUUUUUGAAAUAUUUUUCACUAUGAAAUGUGGGGGGCUUCAAUAGUAAAAUUGACAAAAUCAACAUCCUUACUGACGAGAAUGGGUGAUUUUUCAAAAUGAAUUUUCCAACACCUCAGAUUCUUUAUCCAAGAAGGAGGAAAAAUGAGACCGCCUUGCCCUGGUUUUCAUUCUUUUUCCAUUUCAUCAUUGACUUACCAUGAAAAAUAAUAGAUUUGAAGAAGUUGUAUACCAAUUUUCGGAGCUAGGGUAUAUAGAAACCCAAAUAUAUUUAGUUUUAAUUGUAAAAAGUUAGGGAUUUUGAAGAAAUUGGGAAGUAUGGGUUUUUGGAUUUGAGUAAGGAUAUCGAUAAUUUCAGGAAGAAAUGUGG